GAUGAAGAACGUAGCGAAAUGCGAUACGUAAUGUGAAUUGCAGAAUUCAGUGAAUCAUCGAGUCUUUGAACGCACAUUGCGCCCCCUGGUAUUCCGGGGGGCAUGCCUGUCCGAGCGUCAUUGCUGCCCUCAAGCACGGCUUGUGUGUUGGGCCUCCGUCCUCCUCCCGGGGGACGGGCCCGAAAGGCAGCGGCGGCACCGCGUCCGGUCCUCGAGCGUAUGGGGCUUCGUGACCCGCUCUUGUAGGCCCGGCCGGCGCUUGCCGACACAUCAAUCUUUUUUCCAGGUUGACCUCGGAUCAGGUAGGGAUACCCGCUGAACUUAAGCAUAUCAAUAAGCGGAGGA
rnacentral:misc_RNA from 1 species